GAUGAACGCUAGCGGCAGGCCUAAUACAUGCAAGUCGAACGGUAAGUUACCUUCGGGUAACACGAGUGGCGCACGGGUGAGUAACGCGUACGCAAUCUGCCUCUAUCAGGGGGAUACACACGGGAAACUGUGGAUAAUCCCGCAUACAAUUUAUUACUGGCAUCAGUAAUAGAUAAAAGCUACGGCGGAUAGAGAUGAGCGUGCGUCUGAUUAGCUAGUUGGUGAGGUAACGGCUCACCAAGGCGACGAUCAGUAGGGGGCGUGAGAGCGUGGUCCCCCACACGGGUACUGAGACACGGACCCGACUCCUACGGGAGGCAGCAGUAAGGAAUAUUGGUCAAUGGGCGGAAGCCUGAACCAGCCAUGCCGCGUGCGGGAAGAAGGCCCUCUGGGUUGUAAACCGCUUUUGUCAGGGAAGAAUGGACGGGAUUUAUCCUGUUAGGGACGGUACCUGAAGAAUAAGCACCGGCUAACUCCGUGCCAGCCGCCGCAGUAA
rnacentral:rRNA from 1 species